rnacentral:rRNA from 1 species
GACGAACGCUGGCGGCGUGCCUAAUACAUGCAAGUUGAGCGCUGAAGGUUGGUACUUGUACCGACUGGAUGAGCAGCGAACGGGUGAGUAACGCGUGGGGAAUCUGCCUUUGAGCGGGGGACAACAUUUGGAAACGAAUGCUAAUACCGCAUAAAAACUUUAAACACAAGUUUUAAGUUUGAAAGAUGCAAUUGCAUCACUCAAAGAUGAUCCCGCGUUGUAUUAGCUAGUUGGUGAGGUAAAGGCUCACCAAGGCGAUGAUACAUAGCCGACCUGAGAGGGUGAUCGGCCACAUUGGGACUGAGACACGGCCCAAACUCCUACGGGAGGCAGCAGUAGGGAAUCUUCGGCAAUGGACGAAAGUCUGACCGAGCAACGCCGCGUGAGUGAAGAAGGUUUUCGGAUCGUAAAACUCUGUUGGUAGAGAAGAGCGUUGGUGAGAGUGGAAAGCUCAUCAAGUGACGGUAACUACCCAGAAAGGGACGGCUAACUACGUG